UGAAACGUGUAGUGUUUGAGACGAGACGUUAGGUUUCGUUACUCACAAGAAACGGACGUUCGGUUUCGUUACUCACAAGAAACAGACAAGGUGAGGAGAACGUGAGCUCCAAUGUCACUAGGGAUGUUAAUAUGGGUUUUGUUCUGUAGGGUUAGCCCAGCCCGCAUCCAUUUUUUUAACCCGAAGCCCGUUACAUUUUAUGUGGGUUAAAAUAGGACCGUCUAAUAUAACACAUGGGCUAACCCUAAAACCCUUUAUUUUUUUUUUAUUUUUUUUAUGAAAACAAAUCACUGAAAGGCGUUGUUUUAAUUUUUUUUUCUCCAGUUCUUCAUCUUUCUUCGACGAUUCCACAUCGAGAGUUCCGCUUCAUGUGAUCUCAUUUCUUCUCCAGUUCUCCAUUGCCUGAUUGUAAUCCGGAGACACGAUUUCGUCUCCAGUUCUCCAGUCAUCGCCCUCAUCUCUCGCGAUCCUCUGUGUUGUGUCCGUCGAGCAAUCUCUUCUUCUCCUUGACAUCGAGUGGAGUCACGUAGCCAAGUUCUGAGCUUGGAGGAUACAUGUAAUUGUAAAGUCUUCACGAGACUUGUAGUGAAUUAUAUGAAUAAAAAUAUUUAAACUUUGUUUUUUUUCUUCAUAUUUUGAAUUUGGGGACAAAAAUGAAAAACACUUUUUCUAUUUAUAUAAUAAUAUCUUGAGUUUUUACAUA